AAUGAAUCGGGUGGUAAUAUGGCGGCUGGUUCUUAUAUCGUGUGAGUACUUUACUGCGUGUUUUCACAUAGUCAACUGUUGACUUUCGUUUAAUUUUGUUAAAUAUCGUCAAUAUACUAUUGGAAUGAUGUGUAAAAUGAUAAACAAGAUGAAUUCAACAGUAAUUGAAGAGUCAAAAGCAACGCAAUGUUACACAGAGGGGUUUGAAGGAUUCGACUCUCACAGAAGCAUGGAAGGCUUUCUUUAAAAAACAGUGGAAACAACACAAGAUUGCAAAAACACUAUUUAUUGCAAUUAAUGAUAUAAUAUUUUAACAACAAAGUCACAUUACAAUUUCAUAUUACCUAUACUUACAGCUGUAUAAUUUUGGAAUGAAUUGUCCCAUGAUUGUCCCACCUACAUGUCCCAUAUUAUGUACCCACCACACAAGGAAUUCAUUGUUAAUAAAGUAGAGAGGGCAGUUGUUUUUGAAAUAAAUCAAAAUAGUUUGA
rnacentral:lncRNA from 1 species